rnacentral:rRNA from 1 species
UACGGGGGGUGCGAGCGUUGUUCGGAAUCACUGGGCGUAAAGGGCGUGUAGGCGGUCCGCUAAGUCUGAUGUGAAAGCCCGGGGCUCACCCCCGGAAGGGCAUUGGAAACUGACGGGCUUGAGUCCCGAAGAGGAGGGUGGAAUUCCUGGUGUAGCGGUGAAAUGCGUAGAUAUCAGGAGGAACACCGGUGGCGAAGGCGGCCCUCUGGACGGUGACUGACGCUGAGACGCGAAAGCGUGGGGAGCAAACGGG